CUUGAUGGAGCCCAGCAGCAGCGGCUGGGCCCGGUCCUGGCCGUAGGCGGCGAGCAGCGCUUGGGCCUC
rnacentral:antisense_RNA from 1 species